rnacentral:rRNA from 1 species
UACGUAGGGUGCAAGCGUUAAUCGGAAUUACUGGGCGUAAAGCGUGCGUAGGCGGUUUGUUAAGUCUGUUGUGAAAGCCCCGGGCUCAACCUGGGAAUGGCAAUGGAUACUGGCAGGCUAGAGUGUGUCAGAGGAUGGUGGAAUUCCCGGUGUAGCGGUGAAAUGCGUAGAGAUCGGGAGGAACAUCAGUGGCGAAGGCGGCCAUCUGGGCCUGCACUGACGCUCAUGCACGAAAGCGUGGGGAGCAAACAGG